ensembl:snRNA U6 U6 spliceosomal RNA
GUGCUUGCUUCGGCAGCACAUAUACUGAAAUUGGAAUGAUACAGAGAAGCUCAGCAUGGCCCCUGCGCAAGGAUGACACGCAAAUUCAUGAAGCGUUCCAUAUUUUU